GUGCUCACUUUGGCAGCACAUAUACUAAACUUGGAGCCAUACAGAGAAGAUUAGCAUGGUCCCCAUGCCAAGAUGACAUGCAAAUUCAUGAAGAAUUCCACAUUUUU